AGGAUCCCCACGGCUUGUUUCCUGAAUCUGGGCUCUGAACCCCUGGCCUCUCCUCCGAGGGCAGCGUGGUCACCCUUCAGUAGCCUUGCGUCCGAGAGGACAGCACGACUUAGGACCACUUUCUGUACGAGACGCUACGUUCACAGCCCGGGAUCAUGUGUGUGUGUGGCUGGGACCGUUGUUCAGUGUCUGGCUCCCUCACUAGCAUGUACACAUGGGACAGGAUAUGCAUCUGCCACGUUCACGGUUGUAUCUGCUGAAAUAAACAACACUUUAAAGAAUGAGCCCCAGACCUGAAGUCAGAAUGGCGGAUGCUGCAAACCACAGAUGCUGGUUUGCCAUCAAGUUGCAUCAUACAUGGGCAACUCUAGGGAGUGACCUCUGGGUGAAACCUAGCAGGGAUUUUUAAAGAAGGUAGUAAAGUGUAAUAAUUUUCUGGAGCAACACUGGGCUAGCCAGCUAGGAAUGAGAUCAGACAGUAAAAAAAUCAUAUUAGAGCUUGUUACCUGCUUGGAGUUCCAGGUUCAGGCCACAAGGGGGCAGCACUUGAGAGAUGAUGCACCCAGGUGUGCGUUGCUUUCUUCCCUAGGGGCUUUGCCAUCAUGUUCUUUGACUUGGCUGCUUUUUCCUCUGCCUGAGAGCAACGCAGCACCUGAAUUCUUAGAACUAAUUCUCAUUGCAGUUAAAGGUCAGAGAGGGGGAGGUGGCGUUCCACUAGAAGUAGUCCAGGUAGCCUGCCUGGAGGAAGUGGAUCUUGGUCUGGAUGAGUCAAGGCCAGUGGCACCACCCCUCAGCAAUGUGACUCAUCACUGUGGCCAGAUGCUGUUCUGGGUGCUGUGGUCAAGACGUGGGCCUCAGUGGGAGCCACGCCUGGAGGAUAAGAUUUAUUUGGGGAGCCAAAAGAUGCUCACACAGCUCAACGUAGGACAAAGGCAAUGAAGAAGAUUUAUUCUGACUGAUGGGAACUGGAGAAGCCUCACGGCAAAGGAGGCGUUGGAGGUGGACCCUGAGGAAGGGGUGGCUUUGAUCACGGUGACUUGUGGGUCUCAUCCUGAGCUUUCUCCACCUGAGCUGAGAGGUGACACGAAGGAAGCAUUCACAGCAUGGGGAGUGUGUGUGUGUGUAUGCGUGUGUAUGUGUGUGUGUGUGUCUGCGUGUGCCUAGCAGAGCAGUGAGAAUGCACGUGUUACUAUUAGAAAUCUGAGUUCAAGUUUCAGCUUGGCUGUUACUAACCUGUAUCCCCCUAAAACUACUUAACUUUUUUGAGCUUACAUUUUCUCAUCUAAAGCAUGGACAUAAUACUUGUACUUGUGGCGUAGGUCGUUCUGUAAGUAAAUUACAUAAACAGGGAAAAAGUCAUCCCUGGGAACUGAAAUUCUAAAUCAUGUGUAAUCUAGGAAGAAAGAGAAUGAUAAAGGUACUGGUUAAUUUAACGGAUAUUUAUAAAGCAACUACCACGUACCAGGUACCACGCGAGGCCCUUGAGAUACAACAGAGCGAGGAAAGAGAAAUAUUCCUGCCCCCUUGGAGCUACGGGGGAAACGGUAGACAAUACCGCUUAGUCCAUGGCAGGCCAAUUGGCCAUACGUUUUAUGGAGGAAAUUGACCAGGGUAAAGGGUAAGAAAUACUACCCUUUAGAGGGGAAAGGUCUUUUGCAUAUCAUUUGCUUAAGCAAGUUGCCUGCAGUCUUGCUUUGGGGGGUGGAGGUGGUAAGAAAUAAAUAUUUAAGACUUUUUUUUUUUUUGCUUUUUAGGGCUGCACCUGUGGCAUAUGGAAGUUCUCAGGCUAGAGGUCAAAUUGGAGCUACCGCUGCUGGCCUACGCCAUAGCCACAGCCACGUGGGAUCCCCAACCCACUGAGUGAGGCCAGGAAUUGAAUCCACAUCCCCAUGGGUCCUAGUCGGAUUCGUUUCUGCUGUGCCACCAUGGGAAUUCCCAAGAAAUUUUGAUACUUCUAAAGAAUAUAGGUUUAAAUAUGUUUGGGAACGUCUUUAAAAGGCAAGCAGUAGUCAAAUGUCUGAAGUCUAAGAAGAAAAUAGGACAAUACAACCCAAUUCGACAAAAUUAAAGAAAGGAAAAAAUACGGUAAACAUAAAAUAAAAUAGAUGGCAAAUAUAUGUUAUCAAACCGGUGGAGAACAAAAGACUCAGGUUUGAUUUAAAAAGAAAACCCAGCUAUAAACACUUCCCUGGAGACAUACGUCAAAUAAAAUGAUCCAGAAAGUUUCAUCAUAAAGAGAUGAACCAGAAUAUACUGGGCAGCACAAAGGGAAACCCAAGGUCAGGGUGGAAAUAUUAAUAUCAGAUGAGGUAGAACUGAAGGCCAAAGGCAGUAAACAGGAAAAAGAGAAGUAUUUUAUGCUGAUAAAAUCUACAGUCCAUCAAGAAGACAUAACAGGCAUGAAUCUUAAUCCGCCAAGCUGGGCACAGGCUUUAAUACAAGAUCUCGACAAAGCCAUGAUCGCAGCAGCAGACGGCAGCAUUCCUCUCUCCUAAUUAAAUAGAUCACCUGGACCUGGAGGCAGAUAAAGCGUCGUUCAUCAAGCAUGAUGAACAAGCUGGAUUUAUGAUUUAUUAAUCCAACUUUGUUCCAAAGGAACAGCCUUGUUCUCCUUGGCCGCAGAGCCCUCUCAGUGCUUCGUCAUGGACUUGCUCCCUGGUAGAGUUCUGUCGGAGCCACUGUGAGCAGAAAUUGAGGGGCAAAUAAGUUUGUUUGUUUUGUUUUUAAACAAGGAGGAAAUAUGUGAGCCCACAUCCAGGAGGGCUGGGAAGGGUGGACUCUAUCAAAGGCCUGGCGGGGGCCUCCUGUUCUCAUCCACUGGGAAAGAGGGCGGAACCUUUUCAUCUGCGGAAUAAAAGUCCUUCUCUUUAGUCAUAGUGGAGCAAACUGAUAUCAGAUGGCUGCCCUCGAAUCCGGAAAGUUUUGCCAAGGGAACACGCAGAUGGCUUUAAACUUGGAAGCUCGAGCAUGAUGAACAGAAUCAUCACGCUGUCUGAGACCACUCGUAGCUGACUCUGCUGCCAGUGGAGUCGGUGCCAAUGGGGUCACGGGCUGCGUGGACAGGGAGCAAGGCCAGGCGGGGAGGAGGAAGGGGAGAAGGAUGCUGAUUAGGAAUCAACAGAGUCCAUUGCUCUGGCCAAGAAGCAAAUGUUAACAAAUCCCAGAAAGAGGAUAAUUUACUGGUCACCUUCUCUGACAAUAAUAUUCUAUGAUAUUGAUAAGAAUAUGAGAUUUUUCUCCCCUUAAAAAAAUUAAAGUACAUCUUAUAUACCAUAAGGUAUACAAAUGUUAAGUAUACACCUUAAUUUUUACACACAAAAAACCAUCCAGAACCUUCUAAAGAUUCUUGUCUGUGUCUUGUCUCCAGAGCCAACCACUAUUCUAACCCCAGUCACCAGUGAUGAGCUUUUCUGUUCUUGAAUCUUAUGAAAACGUAAUUAUAUAGCACGCACUCUUCUGUGUCAGGCUCCUUUUACUCAGCAUGCUAUUUUUGACAUUCACACAUACUAUUGUGUGUAUCAGUCCCAUUCUUAUUCUUUGCUGUGUAGUAUUCCUUUGUAUAAAUUUAUAACAAUUUAAGGAUCCCUUAUCUAGUUGAUGGAUAUUUUCACAGGGAAAGUUUAAAACAUGCUCUUCUAAAUGGUUUUCACAUCAAGGAAGAAAUGAAAACUUAAAAGUUAGUUUUUUUAGACAUCAAUAUAUUGCAGCAAUGCCUUGGGUGUAGCCAAGGCUAUAUUCAGAGGGAAAUCCGUAGCCUAAAAUAUUUUUACUAUUAAAUAAAAAGGGUGAGUGGAUAAAAAUGAACUAAUAAUUUAACUAAAUAAUAUAAAAAGGAAUGAUAGAAAUAAAUCUGAAAACGGAAAGUUAUUAGAGGUUAAACCUUGAAUUAUUAGAAAAAUAGUGAAGUUGAUAGUUUGUUACUUUGAAAGAUUAAUAACAUAGACAACCACAUCAUAAACUGUAUCAUAAAAAGAGCAAAAUAAAUAUUUGCAACAUAGAGAGAGUGUAUAUGAUCGUAGAUAUAAACAAGAUUUUUUCAAAUUCUGAGAGAAUAUCUUACAUUACAAGAGGAUAUUUAAAAAUCUAGUGAAAUAAUAAGACAACUUUCUUGAAUAAUGUGAAUGUGUAAAAUGGACAUUGGAAGACUUUGAAAAGUUCCUACGUGGGAUAACCAUUGAAGAAAUUUGAAACGACCAUGGAGGAAAUGUAAAAGUUUAUCAAAGAUUUAACAUAAAAGCUACUUUAAGUGAAUUUGGUUUUAUGUGGAUUCAAGCUCAUCAAAGAAAAAAAAAAAAAAGGCCAUAGUUCCAUUCAAACUUUAUCAGACCAUUGAAAAAGAGCAAAGUCUUCUCAAUUAAUUUUAUGAGGCUGGCACACUCUGGACACCCAACUUUGAUAGACUGGCUCACAAACAGAACCGUGUUGGACGAGGGAGGACCACUUGGCCCUGGAUUCUGGCCCAGGGAUCCCCACUUGGAAAGAUGGGCUUAGACUGGCAGGAUCUGGUUUUUCAAAGAAGGCCAAGAAUUGAAUGUUUGUGUGUAAUCUUCCAAUUUUUCUGUGCUGGCAGCUAAGGCAUUUUUUAAACACCUGACAUGGGCUAAAUCAAAUUUGCUGACUGGAUUUGGCUACCAUCUUGCAACCUUUACUCCAAUGGAGUCAGACCCAGGAUCUCAAACAAGGAACCAGAAAGCCUAACUAUCCACGGCUCAGUAGGAAUAGAAUGUGAGCUACACGCUUAAUUUAAAAUUUUCUAGUAUGAUACUAGAAACAGACUAAGAAAUAGAAACAGAUGAAAUUAAUUUUUAAAAUAUAUUUUAUGUAGUAUAUCAAAAAUAUCAUUUCAACAUGUUAUCAACAAUUAUUGAUGAGAUAUUUUACAUUUUUUUGGGUUAUGUUUUAAUCUUUAAAAUCUAGUGUGUGCAUUUUAUACUUAUAGUACAUUUCAAUUUAAUUGCUACAUUUACAUCGGAAAUAUUUGAUCUGGAAGUUCCGCUGUGGUUCAGUGGGUUAAGACUCCAACUUGAGUGGCUCAGGUCCCUGAGGUCAUUAAAAAAAUAAAAGAAAAG
rnacentral:lncRNA from 1 species